GGGGCGGCACCGGGAGUCUUGCAGGGAAGAAGAGAGGGCGAGUAGGGAGAAAGCUAGCCCUGCAGACCCUAAUCGAGGAGCAAAAGAGCACAAGAGAGGGCGUGGCCGGCGAAAGAGGAGGAGCCUAGCUGUGUCACCUAAGAUGUGGACACUGAGGUCUAGAACCCAGGGCUUUGCAAUUGCAUACCUCUCUAUAGAUCCCCUCUCCCCAUCCAGGAGCAGCCACUUCCACCCGGUCUGGCUUGGUGUAGCUCAGGACUGGAAAACAGAGAGCUUGGCCUGCUCUCCAAACCUAGGUUACUGUCCCCAUGAUUCAGGAGACAAACCAUAAAACUGGGACUUCAGUUCUCUGCUGAUUGAACGAGUGAAAUUUCUGAGUUCUCACUUGUAAAAUGAGGGGACAUGAGUGAGAACAGAACAGCCGGUUCAAACAAGCCUAUGAGUGAAGGAUCUUCUCUUUAGGGGUCUGUUUCAGUAACUGAAGAACCAAGAGACUUGACUGGAAAAGCUUAAACGAUCCAGCAUCCUCCAGAAAGGCAGUGGGAGGCACCGACUUUCCACCCAAGUUCUAAACUCUAAAAUAGAAACAUAAACCCUCCUACCCCAUCCUCCAGCCUUUAGAACUGUCCCUUGGAGGCCGUCCUCCUGCCUGUCACCAGCUGGCCAAGGACCACCUCAGUGCAGCUCUGUGCUCCAGGACUUGUUAGGCCUCUAACACCCUAUGGCAGCCGCCCUGGUCCCACUUACUAGCUAGAUCAAGCCUUACCCUCCCCACCCUCUCCACUUCUCCUGCAGACCCGCGGCGGCCCCUAGGGGGCAGUGUUGCUCCGAACUUGGCGGGCCGCCGCCACUUCCCCCGCCCGGGCGAGCGCUGAGAGGACGCUAGGGUUCUGGGAAUACUGGAUGCCCCCGGCACACGCCGCCCCCCGCCGCCGGCCCAGCCCCGGGGCUCCCGCGCUGCGCAGCCCGCUCGGUGCGGACUUGCUGCUGCCUCCCACUCCUCUCCGCACAAGGCACUUCGCGGGAAAAGGCUGGUUUUUGCCUUUUUAUUUUUCGUCAGAGGUUGAGGCAGACAUUGGGUUCAAGCUGUACGCACGGACCUACUCGUCUGUGCUCAGAGAUGAGGGGGAAAAUUAAAAGAGGGUAGGAGGCUUGUUCUGCCCAAGAACCUGUCAACUGUCUCCCUGUCACCCCUUUAUCCACUGCCACCCUUCCUGGCGUGACUGACAGGCAUCCAUCCCGCGAGCCUCCUCUCCCAGAGCAUCGCCUGGGAGCCCCAACCCCAGCAGGACGUGCCCUGAGGCUGUAGUGUCCGAGGGGUCUUGGCCCCAUCGCGCGCCUCGCAAACGUAGCCGCGAGGUCCGGGCUGCGUUUAGGGGAUGAUUCCUGCUGCGAAUGCCCUCAUCGCCCGGCUGAGCCGUGAAGUCCGGCUGGAGCGAUGGCUCUAGGGGGGAAACGGAGGGAAAGCCCCAUUCGAGUUCCGGCCAACGAUUUAAUGGGAGGCGGGGGAUGUAAAAGCCCCGAACCCACAAAGCAGACUUUUUAAAAAUUCUAAUUGAAACCAUCUCGAAGUAAGGGCGGCCAGGAAUGGGCCAGCUCCCCGCCCCCCGUCCCAUCCCCCUCCUCUGCUCCCCGGAGUCCGAUGAAGUCAUGAUAACUAGACUACAAAAAGAAAAAAGUGGGGGGUGGUCUGGGGGGCACGGGGGUCCCGGGCUGGGGCCCCGCACGGACACAGUUUGGAUACUAUGGUUACGCGAUCCGACCCAAACAGCGAAGAUGAACAACAAUAGCGGCCGCCAGAGGAGGAAAUUCCUUCCGGGGUGGACGGCGCGGGGGGAGGGGCGCCUGGCUGGAACGCCGAGGCGGCGGCUGGGCCAAUCAGCGCGCGGCCGCCGGCGGUUUCAAGGUGCCCCGAGCAGCCCGCACCCCCCUCCCGCACUCCCCCUCUCCGCGCGCUCCGCUCGGGUGCUGGAAUUGCUGAGACGUUUCCCUGCACGCGCCCGGGUAACACUGCGGGGGCUGCUGCCCAGGCCGACACCCCCAGCGCUCCUCGCACCCCUCCCGGAGCCCACCACCCGGGGCGACUGAACGUUCCACUGCACGAGUUGCUUGCACUGGAAAAGGGGGGGGAUCCCUGCCAGUCACUCCUGUCUAGGGGUUGGUUCCUGCAUAAGCCUGUUUUCUAUUUUAAAGCAUGUCUCAAGGGGGAAAAGAGAGAGAGAGUGAGAAGAUCUACCCUGGACUCUGCAAACCUGGGAAGACUGGUCCCUGACUCCCUGAUCUCAGGGUCUGAAAAUUCACCAAAGUUCUCUGGAGCAUCUGUGUGCUCAGCUGGCGGGAUGGGCAACUAUUGCUGUAAACAGGAAACCAGCAAGAAGGGAGUUGGCAGGAGCCCAGUCUCUGUCUCUUUUCAUGCCCCUCCUCAGAGCCCCCGACUCUGAGCUCUCAAAACACACUUAGCUCCUGAACACUUAAGCAUCUAUGUUCCUGAGAUUGGCACAAAAUAAAGUCUGAACAAACAGCA